GACGAACGCUGGCGGCGUGCUUAACACAUGCAAGUCGAACGGAAAGGCACUGCGUUUGUGGGGUGCUCGAGGGGCGAACGGGUGAGUAACACGAGAAUAACCUGCCCUAGACUUUGGGAUAACUUCAGGAAACGGGGGCUAAUACAGGAUAGGAGCUCAUGCAGCAUGGUGGGGGGUGGAAAGUUUCGGCGGGUGGGGCUGGACUAGCGGCUUAUCAGCUUGUUGGUGGGCGAGUGGCUUACCAAGGCUUUGAAGGGUAGCCGGCCUGAGAGGGUGACCGGCCACAUUGGGACUGAGGUACGGCCCAGACUCCUACGGGAGGCAGCAGUGGGGAAUAUUGCACAAUGGGCGGACGCCUGAUGCAGCAACGCCGCGUGCGGGAUGACGGCCUUCGGGUUGUAAACCGCUUUCGCCUGUGACGAAGCGUGAGUGACGGUAAUGGGUAAAGAAGCACCGGCUAACUACGUG
rnacentral:rRNA from 1 species